rnacentral:rRNA from 1 species
GACGAACGCUGGCGGCGUGCUUAACACAUGCAAGUCGAACGGAAAGGCCCUGCUUUUGUGGGGUGCUCGAGUGGCGAACGGGUGAGUAACACGUGAGUAACCUGCCCUUGACUUUGGGAUAACUUCAGGAAACUGGGGCUAAUACCGGAUAGGAGCUCCUGCUGCAUGGUGGGGGUUGGAAAGUUUCGGCGGUUGGGGAUGGACUCGCGGCUUAUCAGCUUGUUGGGGGGGUAGUGGCUUACCAAGGCUUUGACGGGUAGCCGGCCUGGGAGGGUGACCGGCCACAUUGGGACUGAGAUACGGCCCAGACUCCUACGGGAGGCAGCAGUGGGGAAUAUUGCACAAUGGGCGGAAGCCUGAUGCAGCAACGCCGCGUGCGGGAUGACGGCCUUCGGGUUGUAAACCGCUUUCGCCUGUGACGAAGCGUGAGUGACGGUAAUGGGUAAAGAAGCACCGGCUAACUACGUG